rnacentral:tRNA from 1 species
GGGGUUGUGGCUCAGCGGUAGAGUGCUCGCCUGGCAUGUGCGAGGCCCUGGGUUUGAUUCUCAACACCACA